rnacentral:tRNA from 1 species
CGGGGCGUGGCGCAGUUUGGUAGCGCGUGUGGUUUGGGACCAUAAGGUCGGAAGUUCAAAUCUUCUCACCCCGACCA